AGGACGAACGCUGGCGGCGUGCCUAACACAUGCAAGUCGAGCGGGGACAUGCGACGGAGUCGAAGUUUUCGGAUGGAGACAAAGAUGUAUUGUUCUAGCGGCGGACGGGUGAGUAACGCGUGAGCAACCUGUCCCUUACAGGGGGAUAACACAGCGAAAGUUGUACUAAUACCGCAUAAGACCACAGAGUGACAUCGCUCAGGGGUCAAAGGAGCAAUCCGGUAAGGGGUGGGCUCGCGUCCGAUUAGAUAGUUGGUGAGGUAACGGCCCACCAAGUCGACGAUCGGUAGCCGACCUGAGAGGGUGAUCGGCCACAUUGGGACUGAGACACGGCCCAAACUCCUACGGGAGGCAGCAGUGGGGAAUAUUGGGCAAAUGGGGGAAACCCUGACCCAGCAACGCCGCGUGAGGGAAGAAGGUUUUCGGAUCGUAAACCUCUGUCCUUGGUGAAGAGGAAGAGACGGUAGCCAAGGAGGAAGCCCCGGCUAACUACGUGCCAGCCGCCGC
rnacentral:rRNA from 1 species